CCGGCGCACGGGUGAGUAACACGUAUCCAACCUGCCGUCUACUCUUGGCCAGCCUUCUGAAAGGAAGAUUAAUCCAGGAUGGGAUCAUGAGUUCACAUGUCCGCAUGAUUAAAGGUAUUUUCCGGUAGACGAUGGGGAUGCGUUCCAUUAGAUAGUAGGCGGGGUAACGGCCCACCCAGUCAACGAUGGAUAGGGGUUCUGAGAGGAAGGUCCCCCACAUUGGAACUGAGACACGGUCCAA
rnacentral:rRNA from 1 species